rnacentral:rRNA from 1 species
UGCAGUUAAAAAGCUCGUAGUUGGAUUUCGGAGUGGGCCAGUUGGUCCGCCGCAAGGUGUGUUACUGACUGGUUUGCUCUUCUUCGCAAAGACUGCGUGUGCUCUUGAGUGAGUGUGCGUAGGAUUUACGACGUUUACUUUGAAAAAAUUAGAGUGUUCAAAGCAGGCUAUUGCUUGAAUACAUGAGCAUGGAAUAAUGGAAUAGGACUUUGGUCCCAUUUUGUUGGUUUCUAGGGCCGAAGUAAUGAUUAAGAGGGACAAUUGGGGGUAUCCGUAUUUCGCUGUCAGAGGUGAGAUUCUUGGAUUUACGAAAGACGGACAACUGCGAAAGCACUUGCCAAGAGUGUUUUCAUUAAUCAAGAACGAAAGUUAGAGGAUCGAAGACGAUCAGAUACCGUCCUAGUUCUAACCAUAAAGGAUGUCGACUAGGGAUCAGCGGGCGUUAUCGUACGACCCCGUUGGCACCUUACGGGAAACCAAAGUUUUUGGAUUCCGGGGGAAGUAUGGUUGCAA